rnacentral:rRNA from 1 species
UGUAGUCUAUAGAGGCGUGGUCAGCGUGAGCUCUGGGCAAGUUCCUGGAAAAGGACAGCAUGGAGGGUGAUACUCCCGUUCAUCUCCGAGUGGCUCGUGCGUACGACCCGUUUUCUUUGAGUCGCGUUGUUUGAGAAUGCAGCGCAAAGUAGGUGGUAAAUUCCAUCUAAAGCUAAAUAUUGGUGCGAGACCGAUAGCAUACAAGUACCGUGAGGGAAAGAUGAAAAGAACUUUGAAAAGAGAGUUAAAGAGUACCUGAAACUGCUGAAAGGGAACCGAAUCGUUUCCAGUGUCUAUAAUCUGUGGCAUAUUUCAUUGGCGAGUGUGUGCGUGCGUGUGCUGUGGCAGCGGCCUUUUGGCUGCGCUUGGCGCGUGUGGUGUGUGUGCUUGCUGGUGCCCUGUGCUGCGGUGGGACGUCAAUGUCAGUUCGUAUGCUGCGGGAAAUAGCUGCCGAGGAGGUAGGGCUUACGCUUGCGUUUGUCUGUUAUAUCUUGGUGGACGAGUCGUCGUGGUUGGGACUGAGGUGCCUACAACGUGCUUUUGAGUGGGUUUGUGUCUCCGUGUGUGCCGUGUGCGGAUAGCUUGCUAUGCGUGUGUGGUUAUGUGUGGAUUGAUAUGGGCUUUAACUUGUUGCCGUUCGGGACGUUGACGAAAUGGAGCGAUCCGACCCGUCUUGAAACACGGACCAAGGAGUCUAACAUGUGUGCAAGUGUUAGGGUGUGGAAACCCCAGCGCGAAAUGAAAGUAAAGGGCAGCGCAAGCUGUCUGAGGUAGGAAACGUUGCGGGCUUCGGUCUGCGGCGUGGCACUAUCGACCGAUCAUGAACCUUCGUGGUGAAAGAUUUGAGUUUGAGCACAUAUGUUGGUACCCGAAAGAUGGUGAACUAUGCCUGAGUAGGGUGAAGCCAGGGGAAACUCUGGUGGAAGCUCGUAGCGAUUCUGACGUGCAAAUCGAUCGUCAAACUUGGGUAUAGGGGCGAAAGACUAAUCGAACCAUCUAGUAGCUGGUUCCCUCCGAAAUUUCCCUCAGGAUAGCAGCAACUUAUUUACGAUAGUUUUAUGAGGUAAAGCGAAUGAUUAGAGGAUUCGGGGAAGAAACUUCCUCGACCUAUUCUCAAACUUUAAAUCUGUAAGACCUGCAGGUUUCUUAAUUGAACUUGUGG